ensembl:lncRNA
UGACCCCCUCAGAAGGCUCUGUAUCCUAGAAGCAUGUGUCUAAAUACAAAACAAAUGGAAACAUUUAGGACUACGGAACGGUUUUAAGGCCAUAGAUGAAGCCAAGAGAGGGGCCAGCCCUGGCUGUUUUGAGGGUGGUGGUACACCGUGUGGUGUAUUUUGAAAGAUCACAGAGUGCAUUCCUGCUCAUGGCAAUCCCUAAGGAGAGAGACAUUGACUGGCCCUGUGCUUUCCUGCAGGAAGUAACCAUUUUUGGGGCAGGAUGUGUGUGAUGGUGAGGACAGUAGGUCUUUUCUACCCCAGCUCCUGAGAACUGGCUUUGCUGAGAGGCAUCAAAAAAGGGUGUGGAAUAGAUUUUUCUCCAGUUCUCCAGAAUGAGGUCUUAAUAAUUCAGAUUAUUUUAUGCAUACAUGUACCUGCUGUUAGCAGCUUCAGCGACUACAACUGCAAGCACUCGACUUCAUUUCUUUGCAAAGUGGAUACUUAUCUCCUACCCAUUUUGAGACUAUUAUCAGCAAACAGUGAGUAAGCGUUCCCAGUUCGUGGACUUCUACUGUUUCACCUCCUCAGCUGUGGCCAGCAAGUUGAAUUUAUGCAUGCUCUUUGAGUAACCUCGAAAAUGAAACAUGACUGUGAAAGUCAAUGGGAAACCACUUUCUGACUACAAAAAUGUAAACCUUUGUCUUUUUUUAACAUAACUGCUCCUUUAUUAAAGAUCUAAUUUUUUUUUACACAUCAAGUGCACUUUUUAUGCACGAAGAGCCCUCUUUAAUAGCAAAAUAAACACACUAAAGAAAAACCACAACUGAUGAUUUUAAGAGAAUGACUCUAUACUGUAGUCAAAGGAGAUUUUCACAUAGACUUAUUCUGAACAAAAUGCCUCAGGAGUACAUUGUCAACUUUCACUGAAGUGUGAAAACCUGUAGGCAUUAUUAAACCUCUCUUAUGAUGAUCCUUAAGAUUACAAGCCAAAAAAAGAAAAGAAAAAAGAAGUAAGAAAAAAAAGAAGAAGAAAAGCAGGCAAGAAAUACCAUUGCAGAAGACGAGUGUUUUACUGAGAUCCGGCCUCCUCUGCCAUACGUUGCAGCAUCAACUGCAUGACAAACAAUUCUGCUUUCUGGGAAGUCUGGAAUAGGAGCAGCCAGUUAACAUGCAAUAAACAGGC